rnacentral:rRNA from 1 species
CCUACGGGUGGCAGCAGUAGGGAAUCUUCCACAAUGGGCGAAAGCCUGAUGGAGCAACGCCGCGUGGGUGAAGAAGGUCUUCGGAUCGUAAAACCCUGUUGUUAGAGAAGAAAGUGCGUGAGCGUAACUGUUCACGUUUCGACGGUAUCUAACCAGAAAGCCACGGCUAACUACGUGCCAGCAGCCGCGGUAAUACGUAGUUGGCAAGCUUUAUCCGGAUGUAUUGGGCGUAAAGGGAACGCAGGCGGUCUUUUAAGUCUGAUGUGAAUGCCUUCGGCUUAACCGGAGUAGGGCAUUGGAAACUGGGAGACUUGAGUGCAGAAGAGGAGAGUGGAACUCCAUGUGUAGCGGUGAAAUGCGUAGAUAUAUGGAAGAACACCAGUGGCGAAAGCGGCUCUCUGGUCGGUAACUGACGCUGAGGUUCGAAAGCGUGGGUAGCAAACAGGAGUAGAUACCCUGGUAGUC